GGCUGCAGCUCUCUUACUUGUGGAAUUUGGCAGCGGCACAGCUGAGUGUUUGUUUUGGGAUGUUUAGCAUUUUUUCAGAUAAAAUAGUUAUUUUCAGGUCCUUAAUUUUUGUUUGUCAGAAGCAAGCAGCCAGGGAAUGGGUGAACUUUUACCUGGACCUCACAAGAGGAGAAAACUCUCUUUUCAAAAUCUGAUAACUCUGCGGAAGAAAACAGAGAUAUUUUCUUUCUUUAUAGGCUGACCUACAGACCCUGCCAAAAAAAAUGUUCCAUGUGAACUUGAGUUUGCAAGGCCCUUGUUUUCAGUCCCAAAUACUCUGCAUUCUGAGAAAGAACAUCUGUGAUAAGAUGGAAAUUGGCACUGGUAACUCAUGUACUAUGGGCGAAGCAUGCUCGGAAGAGGCAGACCCAGAGGUUUUUGAGUGUGGAGCUUUAUUUGUGGACCGGCAAGCAAAACAUGCAGUGAAACAUGCUGGGAUUGCCACCACCGAGUUAUGGUGUGUCUGCACUGUUCAUCAGAUCUGGUGCUAUCAACAGCUGGAGUGUCAAAGGGUGCUGAAUCUAGUGUCUAUUUACAUGGGGUUCAAAUCGAGCACCUGGUGUUUUCAGAAGGCGUUUUUAAGAUAAAUGGUAAAACUGAACUGGAAAUCCAUCUGGCCAGCUGCCUGAUCUAAUGAAUAACCCCACUUUGGCUCCUGCAAUGUAAGCAGAAAGAGUUCUCUCCCGGCCGCUUUCGUCUGUCAUGAAUCUACAAGACAGCCGACAUAAUAUCUGGGCGACAACAGCGUGCUAACAGUGCAGUGACUUCCAUUUUCUUUGCUUUCUAUUGAUUUUCACUUAAUAACUGGCGAAAUACUAAACGUCCGCCCUGAGUACCUAAUAAAUCCUGCCUGAGCUUUUUAUUGAGGAGAAUUUAAUAAAAACAACCAUUGCGGCUGAGGGAUUUUUCUUCUGGACAG